GCACGCGUUCAACGCCGCUGGAAUGCCUCCUGCCCGCCGGAAACCUGAAGUUUUGCCUUCUGAUUCUGAACCAGCCUUUAAACAAAGGUCAUUUCCAUUGUCUGUGGAGCAAAGACUUGUGAGAAAUCUAUUUUUACUGACAUACUUUUGAAAAUAAGUAUUUCAGUCUGUACAAGUUUGCAUGAACUUCCUUCCCUGUGCUUUGUGAAGGACAUUGAUCAGUUUUCAUCACUUCCAGAGGACAUCUUUCACCACUCUUACCAUACA